UUCAAUUUAGCUUAUCUUGGAGAUCUUUCCAUGUUUUUUAGCUUACAAAUCCAAAUUCUGCAUGGUCGUUGUUAGCUCUCAUUCUGAGAGACCACAGGUAGUAUUUUCUAACUUUCUUAUAAAAUUUCAAAAUAAACGAAUCAUUUCUUUCAGUCCCCAGGAAAAUGAAUAAUGUAGAUUUUUCCAUUGUAAUAUAUUUUAAUUAAAAGCAUUUUAGCAAGUAUUCAUUGAAUUUAAUAUGAUUUUUUCAUCUUUCCUUAAAUUUUUAAACCUCCUUAAACUUGUAUUUUAAUAAAAAUAUAUGUACAUAAAGAAUGCAGACAUUUAGUAAUCAAGGACAACAAUUAGCAAAAAGCAAAAUUUAGCUUUCAAAAAAAGAGAAAACAUUAUAAUGUAGCAAAUGUGCCUACUUAUUAGAAUAACGGAACACAUAUACACAUAACUCAUUUUCUAAAUCAAUGAGGUAGAUUGCACAAAAAUAGUGAAGCUGGUGAAGAAAUUUUAAGAAUUCUUAAUAGCUUCAAAAAGAAAAAAAAAAACUUUUAAAACAGUUUACCAACAUACUUAGAACAUAGAAACCACAAACAGCAGGAACAGCAAACCAGAAAAGCAACAUAAGAUUAAAUUAAAAUCUGUAUUAUGUAUGUUUAGUCUCCUCCCAUACAUACAUCGCUGCAGUAAUGUGACUGUUAUUUUUGUUUUCUAAUAGGCAACACAUUGCUAUGUUCUUCAAACUGGAAAACAGGAGUUGAGUCAAUUAGCAAACAUCUACUAUAGAAUUUACUAAAAAGAAAAAAAACCCCAAAACAAAAAACACAACACUAAACUGGGUCACUUAAAUAAGAUACAUAAUAAUAUAAGCUGUUAGGCUUUAUUAUCAAAAGAAACUGCUGAAGGAAAUGCUAUACUAUUUCUGGUAGAAAAUAGGCUGCAUUUUUAGAUUUCUAUAAAAGAAUUAACGUUAAUACUGCCUAAAUGAAAAAAAAGUAUUCAUAAGGAAUGGCAUGAUUUAGGAGAGCCUAUGGCUACACAAAAUCAUUGCCAUCAUUACUGGUGAUAUUUGUAGCUGGUAUAAAGCUUUCUGAUAUAUAGUGAACUGAACACUGCAGCUUUAAUUGAAGUUUGAAUGUUAUAAACAGUUAGAUGUCUGGCUCUGGCCUGCAUUCUAAUACCAUCAGCAGAACAGAGAUGGGAAGUAUAAACAAACCUUUUAACUAGAUUACAGUCUCUAAAAUGGCCAAGAAAUCCUUCAGCACAAACUCCUGUGUGACAAAUGUGGGAGAAGGAAAAUGAUUUUGGAAUAAUGCUAAAAAAAAUAGCCUCUGCAAUUUCUGUCAUUUCUUGGAACAUGUAUUUGACUUUCUAAAUAUUUGCUUAAUAUUAAUUAAUGAUAAAUUUUAUAUUUAACUUUCCAAAUAAGUAAAAAUCCUUUUUAUCUUACAUAGCAGCUGUUUUUUAGAUCAGUAUAUCCCAAGUAAAGAAGCUAUUUAAAAAUCAAUACUUUUGUUGACGUGGAAGACUACAUGUACACAGCCAAGACUAUUAUUUUUAGAUAGUAGUAAUAUUAAGAAUGUAGGAUUAAGUUAAUUAACGGUCAACAGAUCAGUAGACAUUUCUGUACUCAAGGUAUACAGAAAACAAUAGCUUUGGAUACCAGGAUAAAUCUUAAUAUAACUUAGCAUUCAGUCAAAACUUAAGAAACAUUUUAGGUUCACUUCCAACUUCCAAAAUAUAGAUGUUAAAUUUUUAAAAAGGGCAGCACAAGAAUGUAAAUCUUAACACUGGCACCAUACAGAAAUUUUUCCUCUAAUUGCCUCAAUCUUGUUUGGUUGGCAAAGAACUCAGUGAAGCAUGGAUGUGCAAAAAUUUUUCAACACUGCAAGGCGGGUGACUGAUUUAUAUAAAUCAUUUUGGUCCUUUAAAACAAUACGUUCUGAUAAAUUACUCAAUGACACAGAUUUAAUUACAAGUUCUCUAAGAAAAGGUUAUAUAGGUCAACUGAAACAGGACUCAAAUUAGAAUUAGUCAACAUAGAACUCUGAAUGAAGUAUAUGGUUUUCACCAGGUUUGACAUCAUCAUGAUUUUCUUCUCUAUUACGUGCAGCUACAUUAGAAGACAUAGCUUAAUAUACGUUAAGCCUGGUCUCAACACGUGUCUGAAAAAUUAUACUGAGUCAUUCCAACUUCUGAAAUCUCACAUGAUAUUACAGAAAUAUGUCAAACAGAAACAAUGAUGAGUUAGAAACUGUACUUUUAACUUUUAUCUUUAGGUAUUGUCUUUGCCUAUUAGGAAUUACCUUUAGGUUAUCUAAGGAAAUUAUUUGAGGCCAUAGACUUAUUCUAUCCCACUGAUUACUUAUUCUGUAAAGCAAUAAAACCAAUUUGUUAUAAAAUUUCCUUUCUGAAAUAUAAUAAAUUUCAGAGAAUAGUUCUCAGCAUUUAAAAAUAUAUCCAAGUUCUAUGGGUCAUAAUGCAUUGGCAUAAUUAUUUAUAGAACGAUAGUCAAUUCAUGCUUAUAGGAUGAAAGUAUAUUUACUUAGGAUGCAUAUGAAAAUUACUUAACAGAAUUUUUAAAAAUUACUCUUUUCUCCUAGAAGCAAAGGAUGUGAAAGUAAAUCUGGUUAGCUGGGACAAAACCUAUUUUAAUUCAGUAGUUGCUUUAAAGAACAACUAUAUAAUAAUCUAAACAUCUAAGGAAUCCAACAAGUUGUCCAUUCUCAUACUAAAAAUAUUUCUGACUUAAAGUAGUACUAAAAAGAAUACAUUAAACUUCAUCCUAUAUGUGUAAUGUAGUAAUUAUGAAGAUCUUAUAAGAUACAGGGUCCAGAAGAUUAUAUCUAUCUAUCUAUAUAUAUGUGUGUGUGUGUGUGUGUAUAUACACACACACACACACACACACACUCAACCACCAGGCAAUAUAUGUUCCCUCUGUGUAGAGGUUUUCCAUUACAACAUUUACAUUAAAAUGUUUACAGUAAAUAUUCAUUGGGUCACAAAUUGUUAGAACCUUCAAACUUCACCUAACAAAAUGGUAAGUGUAACCCACGCAAGAGAGAGGAAGCUCAAUAUGUAGAAAGCCUAAAUGUAAUGUUUGCCAUACAAAGAGAAGACUGACUUUAUGUAUACAGCUGGCCCCUGAACAAUGAGCGCUGACCUCUGUACAGUUGAAAAUCUCAUGUAACGUCUGACUCCCCUAAAACUUCACUACUAAAAGCCUACCAUUGACCUUCUAGAAGUCUUACCUAUAACAUAAACAGUCAAUCAACACAUAUUUUGUAUGCUGCAUGUAUUAUAUAUUGAAUUCUUACAAUAAAGCUAGAGGGAAGAAAGUUUAGAAAAUCAUAAGGCAGAAAAAAAUAUACUUAUAGUACUAUAAAAAUUCUGCAUAUAAGUGGACCCGCAGUUCAAACCUGUAUUGUUCAAGGGUAAAGUGUAUUUUAUUUCAAGUUGCACACUAGUCUGCAUCUAUGUUCCUUAUAAAAAACUGGGUUUAUUUAUUGUUUUUCUGUCCUUGUAAACUUUAAGAAAUUGUUCAUCACUCUAUCAAUAAGUUACUGGGGCCGUGAUUUUACUGUUUACCAAAGUGCUUACUGACUGAUAAAAACUAUUGUGGCUGUGUUUUAAAGUGUUAUGAAUUUACUGUGAUUAAGUGUUUUGCUGCUAUAUGUAAAAUGUGAUUUUGUCAGUAAUAGGUUUCCCCAUUUGCAAAAUGGGAACAAUGUUCAAAGUUCACAGGAUCAGUGUAUUGAUAUAUUUAACACAGUGUUAGACACCUAAAAUAAAUGGUAACUAUGUUUAUUACUAAAAUAAAAAGUUAAGAAUGGAUUUGAAAGAGAACAGAAUUGACCUUCAGAAAUCUGUUUAACUUCACAAAAUACUAUAUCAGCAGGGGAGUCCCUCCUUUCAAACUGAAUCAGUAUUAUUCUAAAAAGUACAGUUUAAGGGAAAAAGAUAAUACAGGAAAUUUCUCCCUAAUUACAUAUGAAUGCCAUGAUAGGAACCAAGAUAGUAUUCUUUGGUUUUGAAACAUUCAUUAACUAAGAAACUUUCAAAUCAUUUUAUUGAAGUUGUAUCACAUAAUGAAGAUUAAAAAUUUGAACUAACCAAUUUAGAGCUAGAACUAGAAAGCUUCUAAUGAGGAUCUUGGAGGAAUUUAUCUUGUGCACACUGAAAAUUCCAAAACUCCUAAAUAGGAUAUACUGUAAUUAUUCCAUGAUAAUUAUACUGUUAGAUUAAACUAUAGAAAUUAAACGAUCAAAAUGAUAAUAUGCCAUGUCUUCCAAUGAACCAUGAAAGAUAACAUGUUAUAUGAAAUGUAAAAAGAAAAGUUACUUCUGAGAAAAAAAAAAAAAGUUUAAGUUUGGAGAGUUUGGGUUUUGUUUUUGCAGGGGAAUAAUUUAAUGAGAUACUUCAAUGAACAAUGUUGAUAACCUUCAAAUAAAAGUAUUCAUCAAUAAAAUACUAGCAAUGAUAGCCACAUACACUAAUUUUACGGUCUAAAAUUAAUGAGUUAUACACAGAAUAGAAAUCCCCAGAAUACAGUAUUAAGUGGAAAAUUUUUCUUUAUAUUUUUCUAUUUUAAUAAAAUACAGCAAAAUCCUUCUUAAACAUGCAUUUUUUUUACACCUAACAGUAUCCAUUUAGUUGAUAUAAAACUUAUUUAGGAAAAAACAUCAAAAUAAAGUCAUGAUCAAUAUACUUGUGGAAUACAAUUAAAACAUCUCUUCACAUUAAACUGUAGGGACCAUCCUUGUUUCUCAGAUGCCUAGCACUGUGCCUGACAGACAGUAGAUGCUCAAUAGAUGUUUAAUGAAUACCUAAAUACAAUCUGUUUUGCACAUACAUUCAAAAUCCAGACAAGUUUGCAAAGGUACAUAAGUUGGACAUAGGCUUUCUGGCUGACUUCAUGGGGUCCCAGUGAUGACUAGAAGUAAAUCUUCAUAUCCAUAGAAAACUGGAAAGUUGAUAAGUGUCUGGGUAAGGACCAAAAAAACAAAGUCAGGGAAACAUGUCACCUAAGUAACAGUUGCUUUAUAGAGCUGGUAAAAGUGGCCUAAUCAUUCCAAUAACCUAUUGCACUAGUCAAUCAAUGAAAUGAGAUUUAAGUGUAUCUUGAACAUCUGCUAGUAUAUCUUUAAUUGGAAUUUUUUUGAAAUCGCUUAUUAAAAAUAAAUUACUUUUGUUGAAUUGCAUCCUGGACAAGGAUCCGAGGGAAUAUGUUUUUACUUUCUAUGAGCACUGUGUUGUUAGCAGGAUUUAAUUUGGCUAAGAGAAAAAGUGAGUGCUACAGCAAAAAUAAAUUUAAAAAUUCAUGGUAGUGGAGAAGUCAUAGCAAGGGGGAGAGGAAAGAAAAAAGGAAGAAAGGAAUCCCACACAUGGGAGCAAGGAAAUUCAAAUAUACCUAACUCUAUCGUCAUUGACGACCAACAAUCAGUAGGGCCUACUGUGCACCGGACACUGUGCUGUAAGGGAUAUAAAAUGUUAACAAGCCAAAAAAUCCUUAGUCUUUAGUGGUUCACAGAGCAAGACUGACAGGUAAACAUUUAUAAUACAAUAUGCCUCAUUCUUACAUGCGGGUCUUUCAUCCAAGAGCAAGAAGCAUAUUUACUGAUGAAUUAGAAGUGCAGAGAAAAAAUAAGCAUCAGGGGAAGCUGAAAUAAUUCUCAAAAUAGUAACUAUCCAGAAUGAGAGAGAUCAGUACCUUUUAAAUCAACAACAAAUAACUGAAUUAUAAAUAGACAAAAUUUUGGCUUAAAGCUAUUUACCUAAAUAUUCUUAGAAUAUUAUGCCUCCACAUAAAAUCCGUUAAGUGCUAUAUGCAAAAUUGUGAAUGACAGUUUCAUUUCUGAGCAAAGAAAAUGAGGUAGUGUAGCGUAGUGAAUAUUAAGAGACCUAAGUUGUCUGGUCCAUGCAUAGUCUGCCCACUUAGAGGCCUUGGAACCUAGGCAAGUUCCUCAAGCUCUCCAAGCUUCAGCGAUUUGGAAAAUAAAGAGCUGGAUAAAGCGACCUCCAAGAUAUCACUUAGAUGAAAAUUGCAAUCUCAAAGUUUCUUAAUAUUCAAAAAAUAAGCCAUAAUAAAAACGGUUUCUAAAUAUAAAUCAUUUUCCACCUUAGAGGAAGCCUAAAAUUCUCAAGCCAUACAGGGUUACCCUAGGAGUGGUGGGAUAAAGAAGUGUUUUCCAAAGAAAAGCAGACAUAAAUUAAAUAAAGGUAUUAUACUCAAGACUGUAAAUUUUUACUCAGCUGCCGACGGGGCAACUACCAUCCAAUUAUCUACACAAUUCGCUUUACUUAAAAUUGAUUUCUUCACUAAGUUCUACUUUCUCACUCUUACAUUAAGGUUGCUGAGGAAUUAGGGUGAGGACGAGGAAUCCUAGGUGGACCUGGAACAGUAGUAUUGAUGUUGUGAGAAGAACUUGAACUUGACAUAGAUUUCUGCUGAAGUGCACCAGUUAUAACCUCAGAGAAAGGUAAGAAACUGUUCAAAUUUAUAACAGAAAGGAGGGAAAUAAGACCAUAUUGUUUACUGCUACACAGCUCUUUCCCCGUGUCUCAAUGUCUACUUUUGCACACACGUUAAUGAGAAUUCUGCAGAACAAGUUUCUACAUUUGCAGUUCAUUUUUGCCACUAAAAUAGAAGCGAUAGAUAUUAUGUUUGGGCUUCACCAUCAAGAAAAUAAAAAAAAAAAAAUCGAAACUAUUACCAUGCUGUUAUAAUAUGUACGUCAAACAUCCGUCUAGAUUUAUUUUUCUUCGAUCCUUUCUAUUUGAUCAAAUUGCUGUUUUCAUAUUACCAGUCUGAUCAUAAAAUUGCUGCUUUACAGGAGAAUAUUUUUUGCUGACAUAAAUUACGGGAUCAGAGAUACCAAUGCAGUUACAAAAAAGGGUGUGUGUGUGAGAGAGAGAGAAAGACAGAGAGAGUGUGUGUGUAUAUGAAUGUGUGCAUCCAUCUUCAAGGAAAGGAUAAAGAAAUGUUAUGUAGGAGACAAAAUGCCACUUUCCAAUGUAAGCCCUAGUAAAAGGCCUACCUUGGAAACAUACUUUCUAACAUCUGUGAGACAAAAAUGCAACACUGAAUUUGAAAGCCACAGUGAUUUUUAGGAAGACUCUUCUCCUACAGACCUAAACCUGGGUUUAUCUUUCAAUUCAUGUCCAACGAGAAUGAAUAUCCUAACUAGGACUUCGCGACUGGACUCCUGAAGAUGCAUUUUAGAGAUCUGUCUCCUUUCCCAUGCACUGAGCAAUCUGGUUCAGUACCCCAGGAGAUGAAAAACUCCUCUCCAUUUACAACACUAAAUAAAUAAUUCAGUUAAAACUGAAAGUGGUACCAAUCCAGCAAACUAUUGAUGGAGAGGUCUGGCCUUCCAUGAAGCCAGAGCAACGUAAAGUUUUCAAUGGGGAUUACUUGUUCAGACAAGUUACAAAGAUCAGAAAAAUACCCAGAUUAAUUAGGAAGCAGUUAACAGUCUCGUGUUAUGGAAAAUAAAUCAUCAGGAACGUAUGCAGGGGAGAGACAAUACCGGUGGCAUUCGAACUUUGAGCAUUUUAAGCUUUGAACUUUACAUGCUGGUCUAUGGAAUGAGCAUUUCACCAGAGGAAAAAAAAAAAAAAAAAAA
rnacentral:lncRNA from 1 species